UACAGAGGUCUCAAGCGUUGUUCGGAUUCAUUGGGCGUAAAGGGUGCGUAGGUGGCGCCGUAAGUCAGGUGUGAAAUUUCGGAGCUUAACUCCGAAACUGCAUUUGAUACUGCGGUGCUUGAGGACUGGAGAGGAGACUGGAAUUUACGGUGUAGCAGUGAAAUGCGUAGAGAUCGUAAGGAAGACCAGUGGCGAAGGCAGCUCGCUGGGACGGUACUGACGCUGAGGCGCGAAAGCGUGGGGAGCGAACAGG
rnacentral:rRNA from 1 species